GACGAACGCUGGCGGCGUGCCUAACACAUGCAAGUCGAACGAUGAACUUGGAGCUUGCUCUGGGGGAUUAGUGGCGAACGGGUGAGUAACACGUGAGUAACCUGCCCUGGACUCUGGGAUAACUUCGAGAAAUCGGAGCUAAUACCGGAUAGGACCUUGCACCGCAUGGUGUGGGGUGGAAAGUUUUUCGGUUUGGGAUGGACUCGCGGCCUAUCAGCUUGUUGGUGAGGUAAUGGCUCACCAAGGCGUCGACGGGUAGCCGGCCUGAGAGGGUGACCGGCCACACUGGGACUGAGACACGGCCCAGACUCCUACGGGAGGCAGCAGUGGGGAAUAUUGCACAAUGGGCGAAAGCCUGACGCAGCAACGCCGCGUGAGGGAUGACGGCCUUCGGGUUGUAAACCUCUUUUAGCAAGGAAGAAGCGAAAGUGACGGUACUUGCAGAAAAAGCGCCGCCUAACUACGUGCCAGCCGCCGCUGUAAAAC
rnacentral:rRNA from 1 species